GAUGAACGCUGGCGGCGUGCCUAAUACAUGCAAGUCGAGCGAACAGACGAUGAGCUUGCGCCGCUGACGUGAGCGGCGGGCGGGUGAGUAACGCGUGGAUAACCUACCUAUAAGACUGGGAUAACUUCGGGAAACCGGAGCUAAUACCGUAUGAUAUAUUGAACCGCAGUGUUCAAUAGUGAGAUACGGUUUUGCUGUCACUUAUAGAUGGAUCCGCGCCGCAUUAGCUAGUUGUGAAGUUAACGGCUUACCAAGGCAACGAUGCGUAGCCGAACUGAGGGGGUGAUAGCCAACAUUGGAACGGGGCCACGGUCCAGACUCCUACGGGACGCCGCAGAAGGGUACGUUAGGCAACGGGGGAAAGCAUGACGGAGUAAGGCGGAGCGAGUGAUGACGGCGUCCGGAUCGUAAAACCGUGUUACUAGGGAAGAACCACUGUGUCAGUAAACAUGCCCGUCUUGACGGUAACUAAUAAGAAAGCACCGGCUAACUACGUG
rnacentral:rRNA from 1 species